GAUGAACGCUGGCGGCGUGCCUAAUACAUGCAAGUCGAGCGAACAGAUAAGGAGCUUGCUCCUUUGACGUUAGCGGCGGACGGGUGAGUAACACGUGGAUCACCUACCUAUAAGACUGGGAUAACUUCGGGAAACCGGAGCUAAUACCGGAUAACAUAUUGAACCGCAUGGUUCAAUAGUGAAAGGCGGCUUUGCUGUCACUUAUAGAUGGAUCCGAGCCGUAUUAGCUAGUUGGUAAGGUAACGGCUUACCAAGGCAACGAUACGUAGCCGACCUAUGAGGAUGAUCGGCCACAUUGGAACUGAGACACGGUCCUGACACCUGCGGGAGGCAGCAGUAGGGAAUCGUCCGCAAUGGGCGAAAGUCUGACGGAGCAACGCCGCGUGAGUGAUGAAGGUCUUCGGAUCGUAAAACUCUGUUAUCAGGGAAGAACAAAUGUGUAAGUAACUGUGCACAGCUUGACGGUACCUGAUCAGAAAGCCACGGCUAACUACGUG
rnacentral:rRNA from 1 species